GGUUAAGCGACUAAGCGUACACGGUGGAUGCCCUGGCAGUCAGAGGCGAUGAAGGACGUGCUAAUCUGCGAUAAGCGUCGGUGAGGUGAUAUGAACCGUUAUAACCGGCGAUUUCCGAAUGGGGAAACCCAGUGUGUUUCGACACACUAUCAUUAACUGAAUCCAUAGGUUAAUGAGGCGAACCGGGGGAACUGAAACAUCUAAGUACCCCGAGGAAAAGAAAUCAACCGAGAUUCCCCCAGUAGCGGCGAGCGAACGGGGAGGAGCCCAGAGCCUGAAUCAGUGUGUGUGUUAGUGGAAGCGUCUGGAAAGGCGCGCGAUACAGGGUGACAGCCCCGUACACAAAAAUGCACAUAUUGUGAGCUCGAUGAGUAGGGCGGGACACGUGGUAUCCUGUCUGAAUAUGGGGGGACCAUCCUCCAAGGCUAAAUACUCCUGACUGACCGAUAGUGAACCAGUACC
rnacentral:rRNA from 1 species